ACCAGAGAGAAUGAAAUUCUCCACAAUAUGCUAUAGUCAGUCAGUAGUGCUGUGUUUUCCUGAGGAGAUAUUAAA
ensembl:snoRNA